rnacentral:lncRNA from 1 species
UUUGUAUCAAAAUCACAUUUGGUCCUUUAUAAGUGGUAGGUGAGUACAUCAAGAGGAAGAGGUUGCUUGAUUCUUGGUCCUUUAGAUUUUUAAGACUCUUUGGCCAGAGUUUUGGAAAAGGGGUUGUGUCAACAAGCAAAGUUGUGGUUUCAGGACUGCCUUAGAAACUUUUUCAAGAGAAGAAAGGAAACAAUUCUCUACUAGGCGUAAAUGGCACCCACCUUAAUUUUUAGCCUUUGCUUUUUGGUGCCUGUAGGGGGAGCCCUUGAUAGCAGAUUUUAUUCCCCCUUCACUGGCUUGGAGGAAAACGCCAGGAGUUCAAGCUGUUUAGGUAAUUUUGGCGUUUGGCCCACCUGCCCCAGCUUUAAAGAACAGUAACUUGUACAAGCAAUGCUGACUGAUGAUUGUCAGUCACAUGUGAGAAGAGAUUAGAAAGAUGAGUGGCAUUUAUUAAUUUUUUCUUAAAUUGUAAGCUUGGCUUCAGGGGUGGGAUUGAUUAUUCCAGCAUGUGGAUCUGUGCACAACCAGGUGACUCAUUAAGCCCAUGCGCACACACGGACAAGGCAUUGACUUUGUUUCUGUGUUUGUGACUUUUUUUCUUGGAGAGAAGAAAAUGAAGUUGACGUGAAUCAACCUCUUGUUGGUAGGGUUUUUAAAAUGCUACAGCCCCAGAGAAAGCAGGAGAAGACUCAAUAAAAAUGAAAGCCUGCAUCACUUACUGAACUUUUAUCAUGUCCUUGGAACUGGACUAUGUGCUUUUCGUACAUUGGGUGGAGGUUGAGUAAUGUGCUCAAGCUGCUCAGCUGCACAGCUAGGAUUCCAACCCACCAGUCUGGCCUGAGUCCUCUUCCUUCUCAGCCUGGCUCUACGCCUUAGCAAAUCAUGCUGGUUUAUUGGAAGGUCAGCAGUUCCAUAUGAUUCAGCACAUGAGUCUUUGGCAGAAUGAAGUCCAUGGAAAUCCAACCACUCGUGAAGAAUGCACAGGGGAAUAAGGGCAGAAACGCCCAUUCCCACAGGAUCUGCAUGGAACCUCCUGGGAAGCAAGAUGGGAAAUGCGAAGAGCACUGGGCUUGGCCUCAGAAACUUCAAGCACUUUCUGCCCUGCCAUGGGCUAGCUCGUGACCUCAGGCAAGUCGCUGCACCCUGCCUCUAGCUCUGUGACCUUACAGAGUUGUUGCCAGGAUAAUGCUUGGGAAAGUGUCUUCUGAACUCUUCAAUGACCUAUAAACCUAGGUUCCAGCAGAUGCAAUUCACAGAAGGUUCAAGGUUUAGGCCAGUGCACGUGGCUGUGAACAGCAAAUGGAGGAAGAGCCUUUUCAAUGCCCGCAGUGCAAAAACUCAGUGAUAUACUCUCUGUUUUUCAGUGGAGGGGGGCACUUGGCAUAUGAGCUUACACCACAAGAAUCACAUUUGUGUUAAUGUGUGUUUAUGUUGUGUUGACAAAAAGUGUAGGAAGCCAAGCAUGCUGGUGUGUGCCUAUAGUCCCAGUUACUCAGGAGGCUGAGGCAGAAGGAUUGCUUGAGCCCAGGAGUUCAAGGCUGCAAGGAGUUCAAAGCUAUGAUCAUGCCACUGUCCUCCAGUCUGGGCAACAGAGCAA